rnacentral:rRNA from 1 species
UGCCAGCAGCCGCGGUAAUACGGAGGAUCCAAGCGUUAUCCGGAUUUAUUGGGUUUAAAGGGUCCGCAGGCGGAGUAUUAAGUCAGUGGUGAAAUGCUGUAGCUUAACUAUAGCACUGCCAUUGAUACUGGUACUCUUGAGUGUAGUUGAGGUGGGCGGAAUAAGUCAUGUAGCGGUGAAAUGCAUAGAUAUGACUUAGAACACCAAUUGCGAAGGCAGCUCACUAAACUACUACUGACGCUGAGGGACGAAAGCGUGGGGAGCGAACAGGAUUAGAUA